UUUGGAGAUUAUAUACGUGGCAAUGUUCCUAUGUUGACUUUUUCUUUGCGUUUGUACAGCAUUUGUGGAACAAUAUACAUUAUUUUGAGCAAUAUAUGCGCCGCGAGUUCAUUGCUAAUCUUUGUUAGCUCGUCAAUGGUGGUUUUCUUUCAUUGUGUGUUAGCUUUGAGCUAGCGAAUUUUCCGAGCAAAAAUGAAGAAAGAAACAACGCCUGUAAUGUAUUUGAACAUUUCACAAGUGUCAUUAUUAUGUUUUGCGUUUAGUUUUACAGUGAACUUCGACUGGAGUGUCAAGAAACGACUCAGCAAACAACAUUUACUCUUCCUGGUUCCUACUGUGUGAGAACUUUAGCAACAUGUUGCUGUCAUUUUAAGGGCUCUGCACAUCAUCCAGGCGCUGCUGUUAAGAAGCGCAAAAGCAGUGGUCCAAAAACUUUUUUUCCCCCCAUCAUCAUGACCUUUGAGGGCCACCUAACGUUUCGCUUCUAAUGGGGGCCCGUAACAGAAAAAGUGUGACUGCAGGAGUACUUAAACGGCGCAGAACAGCUUGGGGAGGUUGUCCUGUGCCUGCUUGAGUGUCAGGAUGAUCAUUUCAGAAGAUAAACCUGCUUGGGAGGGGUGGGAUGGCAGAUUUCAAUUGAAGACAGUAAACAACAAAGCAGAAAGCCUUUGAACGCCCGACGGAGCGCAGCGGCUGUUUGGCAAAUAUGGGAGUGCAUGUGGCUGGACUUGUGGCCGUUGGGGUUUUUUACUUGGUCAUUCUGCUCACUGGAAUCUUCGCCUCUCGGAAGUCCAAGCAAGUGGAGAAGCAAUGUUCUGGAAAAAAAAGCGAAGUCACCAUCGUCGGAG